AUUGAACGCUGACGGCAUGCCUUACACGUGCAAGUCGAACGGCAGCACGGGUGCUUGCACCUGGUGGCGAGUGGCGAACGGGUGAGUAAUACAUCGGAACGUACCUUAUCGUGGGGGAUAACGCAGCGAAAGCUGUGCUAAUACCGCAUACGCCCUGAGGGGGAAAGCGGGGGAUCGAAAGACCUCGCGCGAUUAGAGCGGCCGAUGCCUGAUUAGCUUGUUGGUGGGGUAAAAGCCCACCAAGGCGACGAUCAGUAGCUGGUCUGAGAGGACGAUCAGCCACACUGGGACUGAGACACGGCCCAGACUCCUACGGGAGGCAGCAGUGGGGAAUUUUGGACAAUGGGGGCAACCCUGAUCCAGCAAUGCCGCGUGAGUGAAGAAGGCCUUCGGGUUGUAAAGCUCUUUUGUCAGGGAAGAAACACCGGCUCUAACACAGUCCGGGAAUGACGGUACCUGAAGAAUAAGCACCGGCUAACUACGUGCCAGCAGCCGCCGUAA
rnacentral:rRNA from 1 species